rnacentral:rRNA from 1 species
AUACGGAGGGGGCUAGCGUUGUUCGGAAUUACUGGGCGUAAAGCGUACGUAGGCGGACUGAUCAGUUGGGGGUGAAAUCCCAGGGCUUAACCCUGGAACUGCCUUCAAUACUGUCAGUCUUGAGUUUGUGAGAGGUGAGUGGAAUUCCUAGUGUAGAGGUGAAAUUCAUAGAUAUUAGGAGGAACACCAGUGGCGAAGGCGGCUCACUGGCCCAUUACUGACGCUGAGGUACGAAAGCGUGGGGAGCAAACAGGAUUAGAUACCCUAGUAGUCC